ACCAACGGUUCGUUCUCAUUACUGCCUGGACACCUCUCUAUAUUAAGAGAUAGACGGCAUACCUUGCUAUCAUAUUGUCUUACUGUGCGCUUGGUGUCAGUAAUUCUAGGGAAGUGGAGAACAUUUGAAGAAAGGAGGGACUAGAUUCCAGACGAGUCGCAGAAAUACCUAAUUCGGAUGAACCAUGAAAGCGAAGUGGGACACAGUUGUCAACACCGCGAUUGUAGUCACGUGGAUAGGCUUUGUUAAAGCUACGUCACCCUGUUACCUCUCAACGGAGCAAGACGCAGUCUCUGGCGGGAGGAUUCGAUUCGUCGUGUCGCAGGGCGAUCCCUGUACCUGCGCUGCGCUCCGGCUGGGCGGCCAUGACACUCACCCACGGCCGGGACGGGACCCCACGGUGUACAUCGACGAUCUGUCGGCUCUCAGUGUCGAUGGAAUCCGCAGGUCGAUGAGAUGCACGCUUGAACUCAGUGCCGCACCAGGAGAUG